rnacentral:rRNA from 1 species
AGAGUUUGAUCCUGGCUCAGAAUCAACGCUGGCGGCGCGCUUAACACAUGCAAGUCGAACGAGAAAGGGAGCAAUCCUGAGUAAAGUGGCGCACUGGUGAGUAACACGUGGAUAUCUACCUCUUGGUGGGGAAUAACCUGGGGAAACCUGGGCUAAUACCGCAUAAGUUCGUGAGAAGAAAGGCGCAAGUCGCCGAGAGAGGAGUCCGCGGUCGAUUAGGUAGUUGGCAGGGUAAAAGCCUACCAAGCCGAAGAUCGAUAGCCGGCCUGAGAGGGCACACGGCCACACUGGCACUGAAACACGGGCCAGACUCCUACGGGAGGCAGCAGUGGGGAAUCUUGCACAAUGGGGGAAACCCUGAUGCAGCGACGCCGCGUGAGCGAUGAAGCCCUUCGGGGUGUAAAGCUCUUUCGGCAGGAACGAUAAUGACGGUACCUGCAGAAGAAGCUGCGGCUAACUACGUGCCAGCAGCCGCGGUAAUACGUAGGCAGCAAGCGUUGUUCGGAAUUACUGGGCGUAAAGAGUGUGUAGGUGGUGUCGUAAGUUUGGUGUGAAAUCUCCCGGCUCAACUGGGAGGGUGCGCCGAAGACUGCGAUGCUGGAGUAUGGGAGAGGAAAGCGGAAUUCCUGGUGUAGCGGUGAAAUGCGUAGAUAUCAGGAGGAACACCUGCGGUGUAGACGGCUUUCUGGACCAUUACUGACACUGAGACACGAAAGCGUGGGUAGCAAACAGGAUUAGAUACCCUGGUAGUCG